rnacentral:rRNA from 1 species
UACGGGGGGGGCAAGCGUUGCUCGGAAUUACUGGGCGUAAAGGGCGCGUAGGCGGCCUAUUAAGUCGGACGUGAAAUCCCUCGGCUCAACCGGGGAACUGCGUCCGAUACUGGCAGGCUUGAAUCCGGGAGAGGGAUGUGGAAUUCCAGGUGUAGCGGUGAAAUGCGUAGAUAUCUGGAGGAACACCGGUGGCGAAGGCGGCAUCCUGGACCGGUAUUGACGCUGAGGCGCGAAAGCUAGGGGAGCAAACGGG